rnacentral:rRNA from 1 species
GACGAACGCUGGCGGCGUGCUUAACACAUGCAAGUCGAACGGAAAGGCCCUGCUUUUUUGGGGUGCUCGAGUGGCGAACGGGUGAGUAACACGUGAGUAACCUGCCCUUGACUUUGGGAUAACUUCAGGAAACUUGGGCUAAUACCUGAUAGGCGCUCCUGCUGCACGGUUGGGGUUGGAAAGUUUAGGCGGUUGGGGAUGUACUCGCGGCUUAUCAGAUUUUUGGUGGGGUAGUGGCUUACCAAGGAUUUGACGGGUAGACGGCGUGAGAGGGUGAACGGCGAGAUGAGGAUGGAGAUACGGACCAGACUGGAACGGGAGGCAGCAGUGGGAAAUAGUGCACAAUGGGAGGAAGCGAGAUGGAGCAACGCGGCGUGCGGGAAGACGGCAUUCGGGUUGUAAAGAGAUUUGGUCUGAGAAGAAGCGUGAGUGACGGUAAUGGGUAAAGAAGCACCGGCUAACUACGUG